rnacentral:misc_RNA from 1 species
AACUUAUAAUUUAAAACUAGAAUACACGAGAUUGCCACUAAGCUAUCAACUUUAUCCUUUGUGACAAAUCCACAACAUGGGUGCAAAGCAAAUGGAGAAGGGAAACAGUGAGAGGCAUCUACACAAAAAUACUUAAGAAUAGUCCAAAAAAUAGAAAAAUAGUGAAAAGCACUUCACUUAAAUUCCAAUAUCUACACUGAAGAGGUGUAAAAACCUUUUCUUGUUAUGAAUUAUAAUCAGCAAGUAAACCAAUUGAAUUGAGUAGAAAACUAAAAAGUUAAAAAUGGCUUACUUCACUCUGUCGAAUUUGAGGCCCACUUUCUUAUUGUCCUCUU